UUGUAUAAAUGCUAUAAAUAUUUAACAUUACAAAUGUACAUCUAUAAAUCAUAAAACAAUAUGCCAAAUAACAGCUGCUUAUUUAUUCUUUGGCCAAAGAUUUAUCUUCCUGAAGUAUGAGUGCUAGUUGGAAGAGUUAUGAAGGGGGAGAGAGAAGCUAAAAAAAAAGAGAGAAAAAUAAUAUUUUUCUUUAUUAAUUUCAUUUUCCAAGAGAAGCACAUUCAAAUUCUGACUCAGAGAGGUAACCACUAAGAGGAUUACCCUUCCUGGAAGCAAAGCUUCAAUGCGUUUAAUAACAGCAGGUCUAUGUCUGCCACAUAACUGAAAACGAUCUGAAUGUCUACUGCAAGAAAACUUCACAAACUUUCUGUCACUGGAAGUUCUCUUUCCUGAAUCAAACUGUAUAUAUAAAUUGUAAUAUAUACACUUAGUAGCAUAUGUGUUCAUAAAAUAAUAUCUAUAGCUCACAUUGAAAUGACUUAGUGUAGGCGACAUUGAUAAAUGGUAAAUACGCACUAGGUGAAAAUUAGGUGAUCACAUAUAAUCAUACUUUCAAAUGAAUGCAUAGACUUCCCCUCCACUCCUGCAGCCCUGAUAAUUUUGCUGGAGCUAUUUUUCCAAAGCAAACUUUUAACACAUCAUAGUCCAACUUCCCAUUUUUUCAAGGCUCUUUCACUUGUACCCUUGUUCAAAUGUAUUAUUUGAAAAUUACGAAGAAAAAUUUUGUUUCCUGACAUGCUGAUAUCAUGAGAUAAUAAGAAUGACUGGGCUAAAUGGCAUUAGGGUUUAAAUGGUUGACUGAGCAUUCCCAUCAGGGAAUCCUCACUGUGUUUUGACAUACACUGGGGUUCAGAGGUUCUCUUUGAAUAUACGUUGGGGUUCAAAGACAUACACUGGGAUUUAAAGACACAAGAGUGUCUGAAAUAUUAAGACUCUGGGUGUUUCUUUAAAUGUGAUGAUGCUUAGUAAUAUAAUUGGAAAGUUAAAGGUGUUUUCAGUCACACUCUGUCUUUGCUGAGAUAUCUGAACUGUCUUAGCUUGAGGCUAAACUCACACGUAAGCUGUAGAGCAUGAUCCUUCACCCAUUCUCCAUCCAAACAAUAUCUGGGAGUGCUCAUCUCAAAACUGGAAAUGACAAUCAUCACUAAAUGCCCUUCCAGCUACGAUUCCACUUUCCUCUCUCACCAUAACAGGAAUUUUCUUGCCCAAGCACAUUUCUCUUUUUAUUAAGCAGAUACUUAUUACUUUGUGUUUAAAGAUCUGCCCUUAAGAAUACUUGGGUUUAAGACCUUACUUCUUUACAUCAUCUGUGUAUGAGCUUUUGGAAGGUUAUUCUCCUUCUCAAACCUAUUUCUCCAUCUAUAAAAUAUGGAUAAAAACCUUACCCAUUUUAUGAUGAUUAAUGAAAAGAAAAUUCAUUCAAAUUAUUGAGCACAUAUUGGUAUACAGAAAAUAUUAAAAAUAUAAGAUGUAAUUAUGAUCUAAAUUGGAUUUUGAGAAAAUGUGAUGAUAAUUAUUCUGGCAGAAAUGGACUGGUUCUGUCCUCAAAUUAUGACCCACUAAUAAGGUCAUAAGUUUCUAAAAGAAAAGAGAUAAACAAGAGAAGCUUUAAACAUCUCUCUAUCCAAGGACUACAAAUACUCUAUCUCUAUUAUUUAUAUACAGUAAUGGGAAUAUCAUUGACUUAGGAUUGCAGACUAUUAAUUUCAUCUAUAAAUCAGGCAUAAUAUAAUGUACCCAUGAUUGAACUAAGAAAUUAUAUAACUUCUGCUCUUAUUCCUCGUGUUUUCACUGACCCUGACAUAAAUGAAUUGAAAAGUAGAAAUUUGAAAUACUGGGAUUUGUAUUUUAUCAAAUUGCAGUGCAAAUCCUUUUGCACUACUCUGAGAGUAAAGCCAUUCCACUCAUAGUUCUUUACUUACACGUGAACACAUGCAAAGACCGUGAUGACGCAUACCUUCUAUAUAGUAUUUUCACUUACAAUUUAGUCCAUCAAAUAUUUCUAUAUAUGCUCUCUAAUGCUUAAUUAGGUAUUUUUUAAAAAUAGGUUAUUUCACAUUCUCCUCAUUUUAGCUUUGUUGUCAUACAUUGCUCAACUUAUAGCAAAAAAGAAAUAACUAGUUUUAUGGUUAAUGAACAAGCAAACAAAAGGAUCAAAACCACCAUGAAAACCCAGUCCUUGCCUCCUAAUUGUUUAAAUGUGUCAGCCAUGAAUGUCUCAAGUUUCCUUUUGACAGCUCAGUAAUUGAGUUAUGUGCAUACAGUAGAGGUCCAUCUCCAUGUAAAUAGGAUUGGAAGGAAGAUUCGGAACUCUGUUCUCAGAAAGCCAAAAUAUUGUUUUAUGCAGUCUAAUCUAGUUCACGAAAUCAAAUUCCAUACAUGAAUUUUGACCAUCAUGGAAUUCCAUGACUUCUUAACCAGUCUUUUCUUUCCCUUUGAAAUCCUGGAGAAUAUUUUACAGUUAAAGCAAUGGGCUAACUGAAGAGACUUUUCUUUCAGCCUGACCUUCUCUCUUAUGCCAUGUGUGUAUAAUCUCUGCUCCUGACUCAUUACCUACUUUCUGGGAUACUGGGCAGAGAAAAUGCCUAGACUGUAGGGAUUUUACCAAAGCCACUGAGGUCACUUUAUAAACAGACUGUGUUUAAAGGAGGUUUUAAGAGCUCCUAGGAAAUGUGAAACCCACUGAGGUUCUGCCCAGGGAAAAGACAACCCCCAAUCUCUAAUUCUCUCUUGCUCAAUCCAUGGAAAAAGAUCCAGUCAGACAAGUUGCUGAGUUUAAGGUCAAACUGAAAUUCUUUUCCCACCUCUUUUCAUUUUUUCCAAGCCAAACAUUUCACUGGCUCUAAUGCAGAAAGCAUAGACGUUUAUCCUUACUUGCCCUAGAAACCCUGUUAUUUUCAUCUUAAAUAACCAGUCUCUCUGGCUUAGAACUUUUAACCCACUACCAAGUGAAGUUUCACUGGAUUUGCUCUCUUCUGAUUUGUCUCAAUUUGUACCAUUUUAACUCAUAGAUAUACAAGCCAACGUGUUGAAUUUUACUUAUCUACACAUAACCAGCCAGCAUUUUCCACCUGUGAGAUUUCUCUUCAGCUAAAACCUCAAUUUUCCUCCGCUUUUUGUUAACAGAAGUCCUCUGAAGGUCUCAAUUCUAUUAUCUUUUAUUUUCUUUUUAGUCUAUUCUGACCAGGUCUUUGUUUUCACAACUUAGUUAAUACUUAUGUAAUAGUCACCAAUGACUGCCAUCUUACAAAAUCUAAUGGUCAGAAAUGUAAAAUCUUCAUUUAUAAAACCUCUAGAAGAAAAAGAGGAGAAAACCUUUGUGGACUUGAGUUAGAGAUUUCUUUGAUAUGACAGAAAAAGCCUAAUUCAUGAAAAAAUGAUUAGUUGGACUUUAUCAAACUUAGAAACUUUCUGCUCUUUGAAAAACACUAUUAAAAGAAUGAAAAGACAAGCCACAGACUAGGAGAAAAUAUUUGAGAAGAAAAUGUCUGAUAAAAACUAGUAUCCAUGAGGAUGUAGGUUUGAUCCCUGGCCUCGCUCAGUGCAUCAGGGAUCCAGCUUUGUCAUGAACUGUGGUGUUAAGUCACAGACGUGGCUCAGAUCCAGAGUGGCUGUGGCUAUGGUAUAGGCCAGCAGGUGAAGCUCUGAUUCGACCCCUGGUCUGGGAAAUUCCAUAUGCCAUGGGUACGC
rnacentral:lncRNA from 1 species